rfam:Rhizobium tibeticum isolate CCBAT85039 genome assembly, contig: CCBAT85039_contig1
CAGGCAUGCUGGGCUCCGCAGCGGCGCCCGGGUUACGCACCCGCCACCGUGUCCACACCGGAGCUUAU